GAGGCAAUCACCGAGAGCAUCAAC
rnacentral:rasiRNA from 1 species